GGCAGUGGUAGCUCAGUGGUUAAGACGUUGGACUACUGAUCAGAAGGUCAUGAGUUCAAUCCCCUUGAGCAAGGCCC